rnacentral:rRNA from 1 species
GACGAACGCUGGCGGCGUGCCUAAUACAUGCAAGUCGAGCGAAUGGAUUAAGAGCUUGCUCUUAUGAAGUUAGCGGCGGACGGGUGAGUAACACGUGGGUAACCUGCCCAUAAGACUGGGAUAACUCCGGGAAACCGGGGCUAAUACCGGAUAACAUUUUGAACCGCAUGGUUCGAAAUUGAAAGGCGGCUUCGGCUGUCACUUAUGGAUGGACCCGCGUCGCAUUAGCUAGUUGGUGAGGUAACGGCUCACCAAGGCAACGAUGCGUAGCCGACCGGAGAGGGUGAUCGGCCACACUGGGACUGGAACACGGCCCAGACUCCUACGGGAGGCAGCAGUAGGGAAUCUUCCGCAAUGGACGAAAGUCUGACGGAGCAACGCCGCGUGAGUGAUGAAGGCUUUCGGGUCGUAAAACUCUGUUGUUAGGGAAGAACAAGUGCUAGUUGAAUAAGCUGACACCUUGACGGUACCUAACCAGAAAGCCACGGCUAACUACGUGCCAGCCGCCGCGGUAA